rnacentral:lncRNA from 1 species
ACACUCAAAGAAAAUCAGCCGCAAUUGAGGACCCUCGAUCUGAGUUCCAACUUCUUCUCCAAGAGAUCUAAGAGCUAACUCCAAAAUACCUUCACUCAAAAAAGGACAAUCAGCCGUUUUCCAUCCAGGAUUGAGAACCAAGAACCUAGAGGACCCUUAUCCUUCAUCUUUCAUAUACCAAAAACCCUAGAGACCAAAACCCUUACCCCCUGCACAAAACAACCUCACCACUCCAUUUUCAUCUUCUUGACGCUACCACCGACCAGACCUCACCACCCAACGACCACUCCCUGAACCAGUAGCCAUGGCUCCUCUCACCCAGACCUGAAGCGCAACCAUCACCCCCACCAAAACUAGCGACUCCUCAUUCAUUCACAAAGCAAACAACCACCAAACCCGCCGGAAAACGACCCCCUAACACCAUAGAACGUCGCUCCCACACCCAUCUUCCUCGCUGCCAUAGACGAGAAACACACACACAUGUACAGAGUCAACACAACAUCUCACGGCAAAGCUCCAAAAUCAGUUGCUAUUUUCUCCAUAGAUCUGGACCUUAGAACUCUAGCAUUACAACUCCUUCUUCAAGGAAUAACGCAACAACAAAGCUAGCAAAUUCAGCAGUUGUAGCUUCCCCAUUUCGCUCCCAAUACAGUUCCAAACAGUCACUAAUUUCACGUCCAAAAAUACGCCGGAGUCGAUCCAAGGAAUGCGCGGAGUUACGAGAUUUUCCGGUGAGUUUUCCAUGUUCUAGUCACGGUUUUGCUCGUUGUUGAGUUUCACAAUAAUAAAAGUCAGAUCCUUCAUUUAGGUUCUACCGUUCAUCUUUGUUUCUUCUAUACGACUUGACAUUUCUUUUAACUGAUUAUCUUAGCGCAUUUUUCUAUGCUUUUAUGAACGAUGAUUCUAUGUUAGAUUCAAGUUGCUCUUCAUGCUUGAACAUUUUUCAUACCUGAAGGGCUAUCUUAUCUUCUUGUACUCGUUGAUUUGAAAUUUUUGAGCAUGCUAAAUGGUUAAAGUUAAUACAGUAGGAUUUUCGUUCAUUUUUAGUGAAUACAUAAGUAUAUGAAUGAGUUAUUUAGUAGUGGCAUGAGUUUUUGAACUAAAAUAUAAGUUUGAGUCCUUGGAAUUUUGGGUGGGAUUGGGAAUUAAAAAAAAGGUAUAAAAUAAAUAAGUUUUCAUGUCAGCUGGAGGAUAAUUUAAGUCACACUUCAAUUUGGAACAUAAUUCUUUGAGUUAUUGAUUCAUGCCUACGACGUGCUUAGAUCGUUAGGAACAACAAAUUCUUUAAAUAAGUUGAGGUGUGCCAUCCAAUCACAUAGUCUAUAGCCUUCACUUUAAUAUUAUAACUUAGAUACUAAACAAUCUUGAACAUUUGUAGUUUGCUUUAGGCGCGAUGUAAUAUACUAUCGUGGUGGUGUACAUGUUCGCGUGACCUAAUUACGAUUUUAAAAAAUAAAAUCGGAGUAUGCGUUCGCGCAACUUUGACUAAACUUUCUUAAUAAUAAUAAUAAUAAAGCGUUACUAAUUGUGGACACAUUCGCGUGACAUGAUUUUUGACGCACCAAACAAAUGGGUACACGUGCGCGUGACCUGUUUCAAGAAAAUUUCUUAAUUAAAAAGAUUAAUGCACAUAUGUUCUAAAAUAAGUAAUUAGACAAUUUUAAUAAGACAAGUAUGAUCAAAGCGACCAUGCCAGAACCACGAAACUUGGAAAUGCCUAACACCUUCUCCCGGGUUAACAGAAUUCCUUACCCGGAUUUCUAUGUUCGCAGACCAUAAAUAGAGUCAAACUUCCUUGAUUCGGGAUUUUAAACUGGUGACUUGGGACACUAUAAAUUAUUCCAAGUGGCUAAUCUGAAUUUUAAAUAAACUAACCCCGUUUCAAUUGUCACUUAAAUUGGAAAAAACUCCCUUAUACCCCUCCUAGGGGUGGUAAAAAGGAGGUGUGACAGCUCUGGCGACUCUGCUGGGGACAAGAACCCAGAAUCUCUAGUUCAGGGUUCAAGAAUUCGAGCUUGUUUUGUGAUUGUACUUGGCUUUAUUUAUUCUUAAUAUUACUGUAUUUUUGUGAACCUUUUGUGCUAAUUGUUGUCUCUUUACCGCUUUAAUAUUAUUUGAAUUGUAUAUAACUGUCUUCUUGCGCCACCCCUCUAAGUCUUCUGAAAAUGGUGCACACGUUCGCGUGGCCCGCUUUUUCUGUAGAAGUUAUACCAAAUAGAACGAGGUUGGGCCAGCAACAAGGCCGGGUUGACUUUAGUGUUCCCGGUACGUUUCCCCCUCUUCGGCUCGAGUUGUCCGUUAGGUAAGCCAGGUCAAGAACACAACCCUAGGUUUAAACUUAGAAUAACAUAACCUCAUGCCGAAUCUCUAGUAGGAACGUUUGUUUGCUUCACGUGCAUUUGACUUUGGGGACUCAACACAGGGGUUGGGUCCAUCUAGGACAGGUGUACCCAAAAUAACAGACUAUCUUGAUGCAUCAUAUGUGCUACAUGUUGCAUUUCUUCGAGGGUAAAAGGGUCAUUUGGUGGACCAAUGAUAGUUGAGGGCAAAUGAAAAAAAGGGGUGAAGCGUGAAAAUAAAGCAAGUAGGGCCCAAUUAUGUUUUCUGCCACAUUUAUGUUAAGAAAAAAAACUUGAAAAAUUCAAAAAAAAGAUUUUGCACUUUUUUCCUCAUUUUCCGAAAAUCAAAAAAUCAAAAAAAGGGAAAAGAAAAUCCAAAAAGAGUUUACAUGUGUCAUCAUUUUUCAAAAAAUAAAAAAAAGAAGACAAAAAAUAUAUUUUCUCUAAAUUAGUUGUUUUUUUUAAUUCUCGCCCGUAUCCAAUCUGCCCGAACUACGCAUAUCUGAUUCUCAUCUUUCGGAGCGUGAUACGUAAGCAACCCACAUAGGGUCCAGUCUUCCUAGUGAGUCUUAGGUUUUUGGCUUUGUGGGGUCUUAGCCAAAUUUUGCACUUCUAGCCACAUUUUGGCCACAUAAGCCGUUUUGCAAAAAUAGCCUCAAUCAUGUCUUGCAUGGGAGUGUUAUUAUCUCACACAGUGUUGGUUAAAGUUUUCUCAUACAGGUGUGGAUUUACUUACCGGAAUUUGAGCAUGACAGAUGCCUCAUGACCAUCUAGUCAGGAUCGCUCAUUUAGGAGUGGCUUAAGGAGAUUUUUUUAAAUUUUUUUUAUGUUUUGAGUCUGUUUUUCUUUUUAUGUCGUUUGUUACCUUCUAGUUUUGUACAGUAAUGUCGAGUUUUUGUUAUUGUACUUUCUAUUUUGUAUUUGAAAAAGUGUGUUAUAACUCAAAAAUCCAAAAAAAGAAGAAGAGAUUUUGCAUUUUAUAUUUUCGUUAGAAGUUUUCUUUAGAAUACCAAUUCUAGAAGUAAAAAAAAAAAUUGAGGUGGUUUUCCUUAGGUGGUUAAUGUCUAGAACUCAAAAUAAAAAUUGCUU